rnacentral:tRNA from 11 species
GCCCGCGUAGCUCAGUGGAUAGAGCGUCUGCCUCCGGAGCAGAAGGUCGUAGGUUCGAAUCCUGUCGCGGGCACCG